rnacentral:rRNA from 1 species
CGCGUAGGCGGGGGACCAAGUCCGGGGUGAAAUCUUUCGGCUCAACCGGAAAACUGCCUUGGAUACUGGUCUUCUUGAGGGAGGUAGGGGCAGGUGGAACUUCCGGUGGAGCGGUGAAAUGCGUUGAUAUCGGAAGGAACGCCGGUGGCGAAAGCGACCUGCUGGAUCUCUUCUGACGCUGAGGCGCGAAAGCUAGGGGAGCGAACG